rnacentral:rRNA from 1 species
UACGAGGGGGGCAAGCGUUGUUCGGAAUUAUUGGGCGUAAAGGGUUCGUAGGCGGUUUGGUAAGUCUUAUGUGAAAUCUACAGGCUCAACUUGUAGUCUGCAUGAGAAACUGCCGGGCUUGAGUAUGGGAGAGGUGAGUGGAAUUCCUGGUGUAGCGGUGAAAUGCGUAGAUAUCAGGAGGAACACCAAUGGCGAAGGCAGCGCACUGGGACGGUACUGACGCUGAGACGCGAAAGCGUGGGGAGCAAACGGG